GGGAACCUCGGUUCCUGAGGGAAAAGGUGGCCUCUGCAUGCAAGCUAUCACCUGAAGAUGAGUCCGCGGCCCAUCAGCUAGUUGGCGGGGUAAUGGCCCACCAAGGCUACGACGGGUAGCUGGUCUGAGAGGACGAUCAGCCACACUGGAACUGAGACACGGUCCAGACUCCUACGGGAGGCAGCAGUGGGGAAUCUUGCACAAUGGGCGAAAGCCUGAUGCAGCAACGCCGCGUGUGUGAUGAAGGUCUUCGGAUCGUAAAGCACUUUCGGCUGGGAAGAAAAACCGGGCGGCGAAUAGUCGCUCGGGUUGACGGUACCAGCAGAAGAAGCAACGGCUAACUCUGUGCCAGCAGCCGCGGUAA
rnacentral:rRNA from 1 species